rnacentral:rRNA from 1 species
GCAAGUCGAACGGUAAGGCCCUGCUUGCAGGGUACACGAGUGGCGGACGGGUGCGGAACGCGUACGGAACUUACCCUUUACUGGAGGAUAGCCCUGGGAAACUGGGAUUAAUACUCCAUAAUAUAUUAGAAAGGCAUCUUUUUAAUAUUAAAACUCCGGUGGUAAAGGAUAGUCGUGCGUCCCAUUAGCUUGUUGGUGAGGUAAAAGCUCACCAAGGCUGCGAUGGGUAGCCGGCCUGAGAGGGUGAUC